ACCUCAUUCAAUUGCAUUACUAUUCCAUCUCCCAGCUCUCAAUUCAGUUGUCGUGAUCAAUGUCCGGACCGUUCCGCAGUCAUGGCUCUGGUAUUACCGGCAGCACUGCACAAGGGAGCACUGAAGGGGGGGAAACAGCAGUACCGUAAGGAGGAUCGUACUCGGCGUUUGUGGACAGCCAUCUUUGAUGGAGUUGACUGCACGAGGCUGGAAAUCGGACAAUGGUUUACAAACCGGUUAUCUCCAAAAGGAUCGAAGACGAUCUGCGCAAGGAAUUCCCCGAAACGGACCUGAAGGGUACGCCCCAUGUUAUCUCCAAGAUCUCUGCUUGGAAGAAUAACUUCAAUAGUCUCUGAAUGAUGCUUUCAAGGACUGAAGUUGGCUUCAAUUCAGACGGAAACCAUAAGAUAGACUGCAACGACGAGCAGUGAUUGUUGCAGCUGAUAAGAAUGCAAAAUUUAUGCGUCACAAACCAUGGCUUUUGUGUGAUGAAUGGAAUGUCAUAUUCGGCAAGUACCGUGCUUCUGGAUCUGUUAUUGAAGACAUUGCCAAAGGCGCAGCUGCAAUCCGACAUGAGAAUGUGGCACGUUACGAGUCUCACAAUGUUGAUCCAUCAAACGACUACGUUGUCAACCUGGAUGAUUUGUUUGACACACCUUGUGAUCCACCAACGAUGAUGUCAACUCCGCCCAGUCAACAGACUGAAAGCACGGGGCAGAGUGUGUAGUGUGAGACCUCACCCCCAAAAGAAUGGAACAAAACGCAAACCACCACAGUCCACUGAUGCAGCUUUACUCGAGUUUCUUGGUCAGAUGCACUCUGAAACCAACAAACGGCUUAAUGUCAUAGCGUCGAGAAUUGGAUAUGAGUUUGAUUUGGGGCAGGCUAUACAUCACAAACUUGGUAGCGUGGCAAGUCUCACGGUUGAGCAGAGGUAUGAAUUGAGUGAUAUACUUGCGGAUAGGGUGCAACGUCUUGAAGUCUUCCUAGGAAUGGCUGAGGAUGUGAAACCGGGCUACGUGCAUAGGCUUGUAGUUAUAACACUAUUGCAAUAUUAACAUG